GCCUCGGUGGUGUAGCGGUAGAGCACACGUCCCUGGCAUGGCUGAAACGCGGGUUCGAUCCCGUUUGAGGCC